rnacentral:rRNA from 1 species
UCUACGGGUGGCAGCAGUGAGGAAUAUUGGUCAAUGGCCGUAAGGCUGAACCAGCCAAGUCGCGUGCAGGAUGAAGGCCCUAUGGUUUGUAAACUUCUUUUAUACGGGAAUAAAGUUAUCCACGUGUGGAUUUUUGCAUGUACUCUAUGAAUAAGCAUCGGCUAACUCCGUGCCAGCAGCCGCGGUAAUACGGAGGAUCCGAUCGUUAUCCGGAUUUAUUGGGUUUAAAGGGUGCGUAGGUGGUUUGUUAAGACAGUGGUGAAAGUUUGUGGCUCAACCGUAAAAUUGCCGUUGAAACUGGCAGCCUUGAGUAUGUUUGAGGUAGGCGGAAUACGUGGUGUAGCGGUGAAAUGCUUAGAUAUCACGCAGAACUCCGAUUGCGAAGGCAGCUUACUAAGCCAUGACUGACACUGAGGCACGAAAGCGUGGGGAUCAAACAGGAUUAGAUACCCCGGUAGUC